rnacentral:rRNA from 1 species
UACGUAGGGGGCGAGCGUUGUCCGGAUUUAUUGGGCGUAAAGAGCUCGUAGGCGGUUUGGUAAGUCGGGUGUGAAAUCUCCACGCUCAACGUGGAGGGGCCACUCGAUACUGCCAUGACUCGAGUCCGGUAGAGGAGUGUGGAAUUCCCGGUGUAGUGGUGAAAUGCGUAGAUAUCAGGAGGAACACCGGUGGCGAAGGCGGUUCUCUGGGCAUGACCUGACGCUGAGGAGCGAAAGUGUGGGGAGCGAACAGG